rnacentral:rRNA from 1 species
UACAGAGGUCCCGAGCGUUGUUCGGAUUCACUGGGCGUAAAGGGUGCGUAGGCGGUUCUGAAAGUCUGAUGUGAAAUCUCCCGGCUCAACUGGGAGGGUGCGCCGAAAACUGGGGUGCUGGAGCGCGGGAGAGGAAAGCGGAAUUCCUGGUGUAGCGGCGAAAUGCGUAGAUAUCGGGAGGAACACCUGUGGCGAAAGCGGCUCACUGGACCACAACUGACGCUGAGGCGCGAAAGCUAGGGGAGCAAACAGGG